GAUGAAGAACGUAGCGAAAUGCGAUAAGUAGUGUGAAUUGCAGAAUUCAGUGAAUCAUCGAAUCUUUGAACGCACAUUGCGCCCCUUGGUAUCCCGAGGGGCAUGCCUGUUCGAGCGUCAUUUCACCACUCAAGCCUGGCUUGGUGUUGGGCGACGUCCCCUUUGGGGACGCGCCUCGAAACGCUCGGCGGCGUGGCACCGGCUUUAAGCGUAGCAGAAUCUUUCGCUUUGGAAGUCGGGGCCCCGUCUGCCGGAAGACCUACUCGCAAGGUUGACCUCGGAUCAGGCAGGGAUACCCGCUGAACUUAAGCAUAUAAAUAAGCGGAGGA
rnacentral:misc_RNA from 1 species